rnacentral:rRNA from 1 species
UCUCUUGAAGCUGUUCUCAGUUCGGACUGCAGUCUGCAACUCGACUGCACGAAGCUGGAAUCGCUAGUAAUCGCGGAUCAGCACGCCGCGGUGAAUACGUUCCCGGGCCUUGUACACACCGCCCGUCACACCAUGGAAGUCUGCAAUGCCCGAAGCCGGUGGCCUAACCACUUAUGUGGAAGGAGCCGUCUAAGGCAGGGCAGAUGACUGGGGUGAAGUCGUAACAAGGUAAC